rnacentral:rRNA from 1 species
UCAAGUUUUUAAGAGCACACGGUGGAUGCCUUGGCAUUAGGAGCCGAAGAAGGACGUAGGAAUCUGCGAUAAGCCUCGGGGAGUUGAUAACCGAACGGUGAUCCGAGGAUGUCCGAAUGGGGAAACCCCGCCACGCGCUGCAAGGUGACGUGGUGACCCAUGCCUGAACACAUAGGGCAUGUGGAGGGAACGUGGGGAAGUGAAACAUCUCAGUACCCACAGGAAGAGAAAACAAUAGUGAUUCCGUCAGUAGUGGCGAGCGAACGCGGACGAGGCUAAACCGGUCCAUGUGUGAUAGCCGGCGGGCGUUGCAUGGUCGGGGUUGUGGGACUUUCCAUUCCAGUUCUGCCGGACUGGUGAGGUGAGAGUGUAGGCAUAGGUGAACGGUCUUGAAAGGCCGACCGGAGAGGGUGCAAGUCCCGUAACCGAAAUGCUUGUUACACCGCCUGGAGAGUAUCCCAAGUAGCACGGGGCCCGAGAAAUCCCGUGCGAAUCUGUCAGGACCACCUGAUAAGCCUAAAUACUACCUAAUGACCGAUAGCGGACAAGUACCGUGAGGGAAAGGUGAAAAGUACCCCGGGAGGGGAGUGAAAUAGUACCUGAAACCGUGUGCUUACAAACCGUCAGAGCAGGCUUGGUUCCUGUGAUGGCGUGCCUUUUGAAGAAUGAGCCUGCGAGUUAGUGUUACGUCGCGAGGUUAACCCGUGUGGGGAAGCCGUAGCGAAAGCGAGUCUGAAUAGGGCGAGUGAGUGGCGUGAUCUAGACCCGAAGCGAAGUGAUCUACCCAUGGCCAGGUUGAAGCGACGGUAAGACGUCGUGGAGGACCGAACCCACUUCAGUUGAAAAUGGAGGGGAUGAGCUGUGGGUAGGGGUGAAAGGCCAAUCAAACUUCGUGAUAGCUGGUUCUCCCCGAAAUGCAUUUAGGUGCAGCGUUGCGUGUUUCUUGCCGGAGGUAGAGCUACUGGAUGGCCGAUGGGCCCUACAAGGUUACUGACGUCAGCCAAACUCCGAAUGCCGGCAAGUGAGAGCGCAGCAGUGAGACUGUGGGGGAUAAGCUUCAUAGUCGAGAGGGAAACAGCCCAGACCACCAACUAAGGCCCCUAAGCGUGUGCUAAGUGGGAAAGGAUGUGGGAUUGCGAAGACAACCAGGAGGUUGGCUUAGAAGCAGCCACCCUUAAAAGAGUGCGUAAUAGCUCACUGGUCAAGUGAUUCCGCGCCGACAAUGUAGCGGGGCUCAAGUACACCGCCGAAGUUGUGGAUUUCGUAUAGUAGACAAGCCUUCGUGGUUCAGUCGUACGGAGUGGUAGGGGAGCGUCGUGUGGGCAGUGAAGUCGCGGUGUAAACCAGCGGUGGAGCCCACACGAGUGAGAAUGCAGGCAUGAGUAGCGAAAGACGGGUGAGAAACCCGUCCGCCGAAUGAUCAAGGGUUCCAGGGUCAAGCUAAUCUGCCCUGGGUAAGUCGGGACCUAAGGCGAGGCCGACAGGCGUAGUCGAUGGACAACGGGUUGAUAUUCCCGUACCGGCGAAAAACCGCCAAUACCAAGCAGGGGACACUAACCGCCCGAGACCUGCCCGACCGCCCUUGUGGUGGAAGGGUUUUGGUGGAGCGCGGGACCUGAUCCUGGGAGGUAAGCGUAUUAACAGGUGUGACGCAGGAAGGUAGCCGAGCCGGGCGAUGGUUGUCCCGGUCUAAGGAUGUAGGGCGGGCCGUAGGCAAAUCCGCGGCCCUUAAAUGCCUGAGAUCUGAUGGGACUCCCGUAAAGGGGGGAUUCGGUGAUCCUAUGCUGCCUAGAAAAGCAUCGGCGCGAGGUUUUAGCCGCCCGUACCCCAAACCGACACAGGUGAUCAGGUAGAGAAUACUAAGGCGAUCGAGAGAAUUAUGGUUAAGGAACUCGGCAAAAUGCCCCCGUAACUUCGGGAGAAGGGGGGCCCCACCCGUGAUGGAACUUUUCGUUCCGGAGCGGUUCAGGGCCGCAGAGACCAGGGGGAAGCGACUGUUUACUAAAAACACAGGUCCGUGCGAAGUCGCAAGACGAUGUAUACGGACUGACUCCUGCCCGGUGCUGGAAGGUUAAGAGGACCGGUUAGCCGCAAGGCGAAGCUGAGAAUUUAAGCCCCAGUAAACGGCGGUGGUAACUAUAACCAUCCUAAGGUAGCGAAAUUCCUUGUCGGGUAAGUUCCGACCUGCACGAAUGGAGUAACGACUUCCCCGCUGUCUCAACCAUAAACUCGGCGAAAUUGCAGUACGAGUAAAGAUGCUCGUUACGCGCAGCAGGACGGAAAGACCCCGAGACCUUUACUAUAGUUUGGUAUUGGUGUUCGGAGUGGCUUGUGUAGGAUAGGUGGGAGACUGUGAAGCUGCAACGCUAGUUGUGGUGGAGUCAUCGUUGAAAUACCACUCUGGUCACUUUGGACAUCUAACUUCGGCCCGUAAUCCGGGUCAGGGACAGUGCCUGAUGGGUAGUUUAACUGGGGCGGUUGCCUCCUAAAGAGUAACGGAGGCGCCCAAAGGUUCCCUCAGCCUGGUUGGCAAUCAGGUGUCGAGUGUAAGUGCACAAGGGAGCUUGACUGUGAGAGAGACAUCUCGAGCAGGGACGAAAGUCGGGACUAGUGAUCCGGCGGCACAUUGUGGAAUGGCCGUCGCUCAACGGAUAAAAGGUACCUCGGGGAUAACAGGCUGAUCUUGCCCAAGAGUCCAUAUCGACGGCAUGGUUUGGCACCUCGAUGUCGGCUCGUCGCAUCCUGGGGCUGGAGUAGGUCCCAAGGGUUGGGCUGUUCGCCCAUUAAAGCGGUACGCGAGCUGGGUUUAGAACGUCGUGAGACAGUUCGGUCCCUAUCCGCUGCGCGCGCAGGAAAUUUGAGAAGGGCUGUCCUUAGUACGAGAGGACCGGGACGGACGAACCUCUGGUGUGUCAGUUGUACUGCCAAGUGCACCGCUGAUUAGCUACGUUCGGAUGGGAUAACCGCUGAAAGCAUCUAAGCGGGAAGCUCGCUUCGAGAUGAGAUUUCCAUGGACCUUGUGUCCGAGAGGCUCCCAGCCAGACCACUGGGUUGAUAGGCCGGAUGUGGAAGCGAGGACUAACGACUCGUGAAGCUGACCGGUACUAAUAAGCCGAUAACUUACACC